GAUGAACGCUGGCGGCGUGCUUAAUACAUGCAAGUCGAGCGAAGCGCUUUAACGGAAUUCUCCGGAAGGAAGAUAAAGUGACUGAGCGGCGGACGGGUGAGUAACGCGUGGGUAACCUGCCUCAUACAGGGGGAUAACAGUUAGAAAUGGCUGCUAAUACCGCAUAAGCGCACAGGACCGCAUGGUCUGGUGUGAAAAACUCCGGUGGUAUGGGAUGGACCCGCGUUGGAUUAGGUAGUUGGUGGGGUAACGGCCUACCAAGCCGACGAUCCAUAGCCGGCCUGAGAGGGUGAACGGCCACAUUGGGACUGAGACACGGCCCAGACUCCUACGGGAGGCAGCAGUGGGGAAUAUUGCACAAUGGGGGAAACCCUGAUGCAGCGACGCCGCGUGAAGGAAGAAGUAUCUCGGUAUGUAAACUUCUAUCAGCAGGGAAGAUAGUGACG
rnacentral:rRNA from 1 species